rnacentral:tRNA from 1 species
GGGGAUUUAGCUCAGUGGUAGAGCGCUUGCCUAGCAAGCGCGCAAGGUCCUGGGUUCGGUCCCCAGCUCCG